AUUGAACGCUGGCGGCAUGCCUUACACAUGCAAGUCGAACGGCAGCGGACCUUCGGGUGCCGGCGAGUGGCGAACGGGUGAGUAAUAUAUCGGAACGUACCUUUCAGUGGGGGAUAACGUAGCGAAAGUUACGCUAAUACCGCAUAUUCUGUGAGCAGGAAAGCGGGGGAUCGCAAGACCUUGCGCUGAUUGAGCGGCCGAUAUCAGAUUAGCUAGUUGGUGAGGUAAAGGCUCACCAAGGCGACGAUCUGUAGCGGGUCUGAGAGGAUGAUCCGCCACACUGGAACUGAGACACGGUCCAGACUCCUACGGGAGGCAGCAGUGGGGAAUUUUGGACAAUGGGCGCAAGCCUGAUCCAGCCAUGCCGCGUGAGUGAAGAAGGCCUCGGUUGUAAG
rnacentral:rRNA from 1 species